GACGAACGCUGGCGGCGUGCCUAAUACAUGCAAGUCGAGCGAGACUCUUCGGAGUCUAGCGGCGGACGGGUGAGUAACACGUGGGCAACCUGCCUGUAAGACUGGGAUAACACCGGGAAACCGGUGCUAAUACCGGAUAAUCCUUUUCCUCUCAUGAGGAAAAGUUGAAAGUCGGUUUCGGCUGACACUUACAGAUGGGCCCGCGGCGCAUUAGCUAGUUGGUGAGGUAACGGCUCACCAAGGCGACGAUGCGUAGCCGAACUGAGAGGGUGAUCGGCCACACUGGGACUGAGACACGGCCCAGACUCCUACGGGAGGCAGAAGUAGGGAAUCUUCCACAAUGGACGAAAGUCUGAUGGAGCAACGCCGCGUGGGCGAUGAAGGCCUUCGGGUCGUAAAGCUCUGUUGUUAGGGAAGAACAAGUACCGGAGUAACUGCCGGUACCUUGACGGUACCUAACCAGAAAGCCACGGCUAACUACGUGCCAGCCGCCGCGGUAAAAC
rnacentral:rRNA from 1 species